GGAGAAAGAAGGGAGAAGAAGAGAGAGAGAGAGAUGGUGAAAUGCCCUCGUAUUAUAAACCUGCGCACUGCACAAUUCCCAAUGCAAAAGGGAAGGGAAUUUUCCCUGGAAAGAUCGUAAAGGAGAAAACGGAGGGCCGAGAGAAGGGAAGAAGUCCGCCACCGAGCGAGUACCUUUUUCAAAAAUUUCCUCGGAGGAAAAUUUUACGACGACUCCUCUCCUUCCCCUUGUUCGUCCCUUGUUCCGUUCACGAACGUUAGAUGGAGCGUGCGUCUUUGUCCCCCCGCAGGGAUACCGAAGGGGAUUGUGUCGGGGCGAAUCGGUGACUGGCGGCGGCGGCAAAUUUAUGACGACUCGUCGUCAAGCCUUGGCAAUGCCCGCCACGUUAGAAAGCUCCCGUAAACUUUUACGGCGUGAGCGCACCUCUUUAUUUCCUGCCUGGCUUGGAAAUUAUAUGGCGCGUGGCCUGCUGCCGCGACCGACCACCGGCCACACCGAGGCUACCCGAGAACAGACCAAACGAGACGGAUAAUUUACACGGCGAGGAGACGAAGGAGCGGGGAGCGGCCACGCUCGUCCAACUUUCCCUCGAUGGCCUU